UACGUAGGGUGCUAGCGUUAUCCGGAUUUACUGGGCGUAAAGCGAGCGCAGGCGGUUCCUUAAGUCUGAUGUGAAAGCCCCCGGCUCAACCGGGGAAGGUCAUUGGAGACUGGGGAACUUGAGUGCAGAAGAGGAGAGUGGAAUUCCAUGUGUAGCGGUGAAAUGCGUAGAUAUAUGGAGGAACACCAGUGGCGAAGGCGACUCUCUGGUCUGUAACUGACGCUGAGGCUCGAAAGCGUGGGGAGCGAACAGG
rnacentral:rRNA from 1 species